rnacentral:lncRNA from 1 species
UUCUACGAGACAUCCCACAAAAAUAAAGAACAAAAACAACCAACCAUGAGCAAAAACAAGAAAAAUCCCUAAUCUGAGUCACUAACUAAACUGGUUCAGAACUAGGACAAAAAGGGCUAAGGCUUUGAAGAACUAGAGGGUCGGGAUGGGAGUAGAUUGAGCAUUGUUUGUAGCAUCCCUUCACUCUUUUCCUUUUUUUUUUGCUAGUUCUGCUUUCAGCACAUUCCUUUCUUCUUCCGACUCAAACAUACGAGCCUAAAGCCUAACAAUCUCAGCAUAUUUGGUCCCACAUUCUUGAACCAAAUCCCUAACCUUGCUAUUUGUUGGAGUCUUCACAGAUGAACCAGGUUCAAUAAAGGCUACACUUAGCAGAUAAUCA